GACGAACGCUGGCGGCGUGCUUAACACAUGCAAGUCGAACGGAAAGGCCCUGCUUUUGUGGGGUGAUCGAGUGGCGAACGGGUGAGUAAGACGUGAGUAACCUGCCCUUGACUUUGGGAUAACUUCAGGAAACUGGGGCUAAUACCGGAUAGGAGAUCCUGCUGCAUGGUGGGGGUUGGAAAUUUGCGGCGGUUGGGGAUGGACGCGCGGCUUAUCAGCUUGUUGGUGGGGGAGUGGCUUACCAAGCCUUUGACGGGUAGGCGGCCUGAGAGCGUGACCGGCCACAUUGGGACUGAGAGAGGGCGCAGACUCCUACGUGAGGCAGCAGGGGGGAAUAUUGCACAAUGGGCGGAAGCCUGAGGCAGCAACGCCGCGUGCGGGAUGACGGCCUGCGGGUUGUAAACCGCUUUAGCCUGUGACGAAGCGUGAGUGACGGUAAUGGGUAAAGAAGCACCGGCUAACUACGUG
rnacentral:rRNA from 1 species